UCAACCGCUUAGAGAGGGCUGUGAAGCACUGUGAAGUGGUAUAUGUCUUAAGUGCUAUUGCUAUCUCAAACGGAUCGCAAUAAUCCAGAAACUGGUCAGCAAAUCCAUGAUUUCUUAGCAUAACUUGAGGCCAAGCCUCUUCUCUGUCUUUUAACCAGACGGUUGUAGUGCUUUUCUCUCUCUUCCCAAGUCAAUCCUGUUCAGGCACAGUCUACAUUUUUGAUCCUCCGUACCUUUUUUAAGCCAGUCCUUUUCAUUUCUGGAAUGGAACGUUGGAGAACAAUAGAAGACGCUGAGACUUUGAUCUUCUGCUCUAAUAAAAAUCAGCCUUUUUUUCUUUCCACCCUCAGGCAUCUGAAGGAUAUGAUUUUGCUUACCGCCAUUGUCCAAGUGCUCAGUUGUUUUUCCCUCUAUAUGUGGUACUUUUGGCUCUUGGCUCCGGGGCGAGCGCUCUAUCUCCUUUGGGUUAACCUUCUGGGUCCUUGGCUCACCGCGGAAUCACCGGCUGCCAACCAAGAGCCCAACGAGAAGAAACAGCGCCGGCAAGAACGCCGGCAGAUGAAGCGGUUUUAAGCUGCGCUCCUGAGCGCAAAUGUCAGGCCACCUCGGGGCCUGCUGUUUUAUCAGGGAUUUGAACCAAUCGGAAAACAUCAGGGGAUUUUUGUUUUGCCCCCUCCUUUGCUCUUCCCCUGACACCUGUCCAUCCUAAGGCUACAUGCUUGCAAUGGGAGGAGUCCGGGUGGGGUGGGGUGGAGAGCCCCAGGCAAAUCGUUUCGCUGUUUUUUUUCCGCCUUAGGGCAGAGGGAGGGGGACCGUGGGGAGAGGGCUGCCGAUGUGUAAAUACCUUUCUCAAAUGAUGCUGUAAUAUGAAUCGGACGAUGAGGGUCUUUCAGUGUUGGAAGCCAGGACGCAUUAAAGAGACAGCCGCACGCACAAAACGUUUGCCCUGCGAGGGCUUGCAGUUUGCGUGGGUUUCCUUUGGUCUUUUCA